rnacentral:rRNA from 1 species
UGGGGAAUAUUGGACAAUGGGCGCAAGCCUGAUCCAGCCAUACCGCGUGGGUGAAGAAGGCCUUCGGGUUGUAAAGCCCUUUUGUUGGGAAAGAAAUCCAGCUGGCUAAUACCCGGUUGGGAUGACGGUACCCAAAGAAUAAGCACCGGCUAACUUCGUGCCAGCAGCCGCGGUAAUACGAAGGGUGCAAGCGUUACUCGGAAUUACUGGGCGUAAAGCGUGCGUAGGUGGUCGUUUAAGUCCGUUGUGAAAGCCCUGGGCUCAACCUGGGAACUGCAGUGGAUACUGGACGACUAGAGUGUGGUAGAGGGUAGCGGAAUUCCUGGUGUAGCAGUGAAAUGCGUAGAGAUCAGGAGGAACAUCCAUGGCGAAGGCAGCUACCUGGACCAACACUGACACUGAGGCACGAAAGCGUGGGGAGCAAACAGGAUUAGAUACCCUUGUAGUCCCUGAGCGGGCUGGCAAGGCGCAU